rnacentral:tRNA from 1 species
UGGCUCAGUCGGUUGAGCGUCUGACUUCAGCUCAGGUCAUGAUCUCGUGGUUCGUGGGUUUGAGCCCCAC